rnacentral:rRNA from 1 species
CCUACGGGUGGCAGCAGUGGGGAAUAUUGGGCAAUGGACGCAAGUCUGACCCAGCAACGCCGCGUGAAGGAAGAAGGCUUUCGGGUCGUAAACUUCUGUUCAGGGGGAAGAGCAUAAGACGGUACCCCUUGAAUAAGCCACGGCUAACUAUGUGCCAGCCGCCGCGGUUAUACGUAGGUGGCAAGCGUUGUCCGGAUUUACUGGGGGUAAAGGGCGUGCAGCGGGGCCGACAAGUCAGAUGUGAAAUCCGCGGGCUUAACCCGCAAACUGCAUUUGAAACUAGUGGUCUUGAGUACCGGAGAGGUCAUCGGAAUUCCUUGUGUAGCGGUGAAAUGCGUAGAUAUAAGGAGGAACACCAGUGGCGAAGGCGGAUGACUGGACGGCAACUGACAGUGAGGCGCGAAAGCGUGGGGAGCAAACAGGAUUAGAUACCCUUGUAGUC